rnacentral:rRNA from 1 species
GUCGAGCGGGGGAAGGUAGCUUGCUACUGGACCUAGCGGCGGACGGGUGAGUAAUGCUUAGGAAUCUGCCUAUUAGUGGGGGACAACAUCUCGAAAGGGAUGCUAAUACCGCAUACGUCCUACGGGAGAAAGCAGGGGAUCUUCGGACCUUGCGCUAAUAGAUGAGCCUAAGUCGGAUUAGCUAGUUGGUGGGGUAAAGGCCUACCAAGGCGACGAUCUGUAGCGGGUCUGAGAGGAUGAUCCGCCACACUGGGACUGAGACACGGCCCAGACUCCUACGGGAGGCAGCAGUGGGGAAUAUUGGACAAUGGGGGGAACCCUGAUC